rnacentral:rRNA from 1 species
GACGAACGCUGGCGGCGUGCUUAACACAUGCAAGUCGAACGGAAAGGCCCUGCUUUUGUGGGGUGCUCGAGUGGCGAACGGGUGAGUAACACGUGAGUAACCUGCCCUUGACUUUGGGAUAACUUCAGGAAACUGGGGCUAAUACCGGAUAGGAGCUCCUGCUGCAUGGUGGGGGUUGGAAAGUUUCGGCGGUUGGGGAUGGACUCGCGGCUUAUCAGCUUGUUGGUGGGGUAGUGGCUUACCAAGGCUUUGACGGGUAGCCGGCCUGAGAGGGUGACCGGCCACAUUGGGACUGAGAUACGGCCCAGACUCCUACGGGAGGCAGCAGUGGGGAAUAUUGCACAAUGGGCGGAAGCCUGAUGCAGCAACGCCGCGUGCGGGAUGACGGCCUUCGGGUUGAACCGCUUUCGCCUGUGACGAAGCGUGAGUGACGGUAAUGGGUAAAGAAGCACCGGCUAACUACGUG